rnacentral:rRNA from 1 species
GAUGAACGCUAGCGGGAGGCCUAACACAUGCAAGCCGAGCGGUAUUUGUUCUUCGGAACAGAGAGAGCGGCGCACGGGUGCGGAACACGUGUGCAACCUGCCUUUAUCUGGGGGAUAGCCUUUCGAAAGGAAGAUUAAUACCCCAUAAUAUAUUGAGUGGCAUCAUUUGAUAUUGAAAACUCCGGUGGAUAGAGAUGGGCACGCGCAAGAUUAGAUAGUUGGUGAGGUAACGGCUCACCAAGUCAAUGAUCUUUAGGGCGCCUGAGAGGGUGAUCCCCCACACUGGUACUGAGACACGGACCAGACUCCUACGGGAGGCAGCAGUGAGGAAUAUUGGACAAUGGGUUAGCGCCUGAUCCAGCCAUCCCGCGUGAAGGACGACGGCCCUAUGGGUUGUAAACUUCUUUUGUAUAGGGAUAAACCUACUCUCGUGAGAGUAGCUGAAGGUACUAUACGAAUAAGCACCGGCUAACUCCGUG